UUGAUUUUUGACCUGAAAUAACUCAUCAUCAUCUUUUUAUAGUCUAUUUCAAUCUAAAUAAGUGAUUUUCACAUAGAUCUAGGUUUUUUUCUUCGUGAUUUCGUCAUGAGUGUGGUGGUGUGUUGUUCGUCGUCUUGUGCGGCGUAGUUUGAUUUCCCGUCUUGUUGCGGUGUUUAUUUGAUUCAUAUUGAAAGAUUCGAUUAUUCAAUCAAAGAAUUGGGCGUCAACGUUGCAGAUCUGGAGCAUGGGUAUUGUUAUAUGCUAUUAAAUGGGGUGUUGUGAGUUUGUUCGCAAAUUCAUUCUUUAUUUUUUUAGCGGCGUUGAAUGGUGUACUCCAUCGAUUUUAAUGAAUAAAUAUCGUUUUGUUUUUGUAAAAAAAAAUCCGAGAAACAUUUGGAUCAAAACAAUGAAAAAAAUUAUAGGAUUUGAGAUAUUUAUUAUAUGAGCAAUGCUAUAUAUCAAGAAAGAUUUUAUCAAGAAAAUUUCAAGAAUGAAAUGGCAGAAUAAUCACCCUUAGAUUUUAUCAAGAAAUAAUCAUGAAAUUAAUGUUAAUCAAUAAAAUCUCAGUCUGGCCGGAAAUCAUGGAGUGGUGGGUGUUAUGUAUUUUUUUUUUAUGAAAGAUUAAUAAAUGAGACUGAAAUCUAAAGGUGAUUAUUGUGCUAUGUCAUUUUUGAAUCUUUCUUAUAAAAUCAUUCUUGAUAUCUAACAUUUUCCUUAUUAUAUUUAAAAGCUAGGACACAUUUUGACAAAGAAGAAUGUGCCCUAGAUAUUUUUUUUUUUUUGGGUAAAUCUUCUUUGGCACAUUUUCCUUAUUAUAUUUAAAAUCAUGGGAGUGAAUGAAUGAGUUGGGUGAGAGAGCGAGUCCGUAACAAUGGCGGCAGCAACAACAAAAAAAGAAGUGAGUUCAGAUUUACCAGAGGAGUUAUGGGAACACAUCUUCAAAUUCCUCAACGACAACAAAAGCCACUACUUCAAAUCUCUCUCGCUAGUCUCCAAACAUUUUCUCUCCAUCUCCAACUGUCUCCUACGUGACCUAAAAGUCUAUGAUCAUACCCUCCAUCACCUCUUCCAAAGGUUCCCUAACCUCACAUCCCUCGAUCUUAGCAUCGUCUCCAAAAGAGUUGACUUCUACACAAUUCUUACCCAAAUCUCCACUUUCCCUUUUACCGAAUGAAUCUUAUGUGCAGGACUAAAAUCUUCUUUAUUGUUGAUUGUUUCCCUUUACUCGAAGAACUCAACCUCACUUAUCCCGAUUCGGCUAUGGUCUUUGAUUUUGCGCGAGAUGAUGAUAUUGAUCGAUUGUUGGAACUUUCCAAACUCUACAAGAUUAUCAUUUCUCGUAUUAUUGCAUCUAUCGCGAAUCUAUUAACCAUAUCUACAAGAUUUCCAGAGAAGAAUAACUUAGAUGAUAAUGAUAGUUACUUAAAAUUGUAAACGUGUCAAUUAUUGCAGUAUUUUAAUUUCGAGUUUGUUUUUGUCUAUUUACAAAUUUUGGUGGUUCACUUGUUUAAACACUUAGCAUAAUGUAUUGUUAUGGACAUAAGAAUGAGAAUUUGGGCUUCAACCUAUGAAGCACGGAUACUCCUUGAAUUAGGCGUGUCCUGAUGUCGGACACGCGGCAUGGCACCGACACGUGUAAUUACACCGAAUUAUGUGAUUUUUUUCCUUCAAAUUAUUGGUGAU
rnacentral:lncRNA from 1 species